GCAGGUGCCCAGAAUGCUGGAGGAUGCCCGAAAUUUCCUAUGCACAUACAAGCUUACUGUUGAAGUCCUCUCAUCCAAUGCACUCAGAACGGGACUGUAAGUCCAGCUGCUGUGUAUCAUCACCUCAGCCCGAUUGGUCCUCGGCCACACUUCACUUCAGCUUCUGAUAGGUCCUGGGCCAAGCUAAGCAGCAUCUAUGAAUCAUUUCACCUCCUGACUGGUCCCGGGCCAAGCCGAGUCACGCAUUCGCCAAGACAGCCCCCAGACUAAGCACAUUCCUUCCCCUUCCGUCCAUAAAAACCUGGACCCCAGCCUCAUGAUGGGCACUCCCGUUCGGGACCCCCUCUCUGCUGGCAGAGAGCUUUCUUCUUUCACCUUAUUAAACUUUCACUCUAACCUC
rnacentral:lncRNA from 1 species